UGUUGUAAAAUUCGGAUAAUAUAGCCUUGCGAAGUUUGCCGUUUUUCAGUCAUUUUGUAUUACAAAUGGGAAAUUGGUAAUCAGUUUCCAUUUGUAAUGCAAAAUGACUGAAAAACGGCAAACUUCGCAAGGCUAUAUUAUCCGCAUUUUACAACAUU